CACGGAGUUAGCCGAUCCUUAUUCCUUCGGUACAUUCAGCUUUAUACACGUAUAAAGGUUUAUUCCCGAAUAAAAGCAGUUUACGACCCAGAGGGCUGUCUUCCUGCACGCGGCAUGGCUGGUUCAGAGUUGCCUCCAUUGACCAAUAUUCCUUACUGCUGCCUCCCGUAGGAGUCUGGUCCGUGUCUCAGUACCAGUGUGGGGGGUCAUCCUCUCAGAUCCCCUAGUCAUCGUGGUCUUGGUGGCCGUUACCCGCAACUAACUAAUGACACGCAUGCCCAUCUUAAUCCUAUAAAUAUUUGAACAUUGGAUGAUGCUAUCCUGUGUUUUUAUGCGGUGUUAAUCCGAAUUUCUUCGGGCUAUCCCCCUGAUUAAGGUAGGUUGCAUACGCGUUACGCACCCGUGCGCCACUUUUCGUUGGAGCAAGCCCCAACUAUCGUUCGACUUGCAUGUAUUAGGCCUGCCGCUAGCGUUCAUCCUGAGCCAGGAUCAAACUC
rnacentral:rRNA from 1 species